rnacentral:rRNA from 1 species
UGGGGAAUAUUGCACAAUGGGCGCAAGCCUGAUGCAGCCAUGCCGCGUGUAUGAAGAAGGCCUUCGGGUUGUAAAGUACUUUCAGCGGGGAGGAAGGGAGUAAAGUUAAUACCUUUACUCAUUGACGUUACCCGCAGAAGAAGCACCGGCUAACUCCGUGCCAGCAGCCGCGGUAAUACGGAGGGUGCAAGCGUUAAUCGGAAUUACUGGGCGUAAAGCGCACGCAGGCGGUUGAUUGAGUCAGAUGUGAAAUCCCCGGGCUUAACCCGGGAAUUGCAUCUGAUACUGGUCAGCUAGAGUCUUGUAGAGGGGGGUAGAAUUCCAGGUGUAGCGGUGAAAUGCGUAGAGAUCUGGAGGAAUACCGGUGGCGAAGGCGGCCCCCUGGACAAAGACUGACGCUCAGGUGCGAAAGCGUGGGGAGCAAACAGG